UAUAUUCUUACGAACAUAUUCUUUCUAACCUAAUGUACGAUAUGUAUAAAAGAAUAUCGUUGUUACAAAGUAUCGAGUUUUGAUUUCGCGCGAUUUUAAUGAAAACAUAAUAUGUAUUAUAAGUUUGAUAUUUUGUUUCGAAUUAUGAAGUGUAUAAAAUAGUGAAAAUAUUGUGCAAUACUUCAAACGUAUUUCAAAUUGUUAUUAUAAGAAUGAGGAUCUUCUCGAUAUUCGAUUUCUCGAUAGACGACGGCCAUGAUGCUAUUCAUGGAAGACUAUAUUUGUAAGAAACGAAGAAUUCUUGUGCAACAAAAGAAACUCAAAUCAUACAUUUCUACAAUCUUCAAUUACAUAGUAGGGCAAAUAAUUGCAAGAUAUCAAGUAUAAUUGAAGAUGGAAGCUCGUCAUCUCGAAGAAAGGCUUUUACCUUCUAAACCAUAUUGAGUUUCAUCGAAAUAUCAACAUUCUCGUUAGAAUGCGGGGGUUCUCGUAAAAAGCACUCAAAGCACUCUAGAUGAAAUCGCCUGUAAACAAAUUAUAAAUUACUGUUCCCUUGAAUACAUCCCUUGAAUACAUCAAUACACGAUUAUGAAUUUAC